CCUACGGGAGACUGCAGUGGGGGAUAUUGCACAAUGGGGGAAACCCUGAUGCAGCGACGCCGCGUGGGUGAAGAAGUAUUUCGGUAUGUAAAGCCCUAUCAGCAGGGAAGAAAGAAGACGGUACCUGACUAAGAAGCCCCGGCUAACUACGUGCCAGCAGCCGCGGUAAUACGUAGGGGGCGAGCGUUAUCCGGAUUCACUGGGUGUAAAGGGAGCGUAGACGGCCGUGCAAGCCAGGAGUGAAAGCCCGGGGCCCAACCCCGGGACUGCUCUUGGAACUGUGCGGCUGGAGUGCGGGAGGGGCAGGCGGAAUUCCUGGUGUAGCGGUGAAAUGCGUAGAUAUCAGGAGGAACACCGGCGGCGAAGGCGGCCUGCUGGACCGCGACUGACGUUGAGGCUCGAAAGCGUGGGGAGCGAACAGGAUUAGAUACCCCUGUAGUC
rnacentral:rRNA from 1 species